AGAACGGAAAGCGUUGGCCCUUCUGCAUUACAAAACAGCAUAGAACAGUAAUUGCCAGUGGAAGAGAUUAAGUGUAGACACUAAAAAUGUUUACUCGCAAUGAAUAUGCAUAACGAUGGGUAGGAAACAGCACUGGAAGAUUAAAAAGAGAGAAGGGUUUGUUUACAAGGCUGGGAAAAAAAAAAGAGUGGAAUGUCAGUUGGCCCCGAGCCUGAAAUAGGAACGAAAAACCUUUGGGCAAGGCAUUAGGGAGAAAAACAGAUGGUUUGUGAACCUUUUAUUAGAUAGAAAAAUCAUUAAUCAAGCCCAGGCUGGAAAUGGCAGGGUUUUUGGUAGUUCAUAUUUUAGUUUAUUUUUUCUUAAAGUGACAGUAUACUUUUUUUUUUUUUUUUUUGGUCUUUUUGGGACAGUCAUCUAUGGAUAAUCUGUCAAUAGGCACUGCAUUUGUAUGACAUUCCACAUUAAAGCCAGCUUCAUUUUAAGGUAGUGUUAGUACUCAUUUGUUCUACUGAGAAAAUUCCUCCAAAGGGUUUCACAUUUCGGCACCUGUUUUGCCCAUAUAGCAAUUUAAAAAAAAUUGCAGCAUGAAAUAUUUUUUUUUCAUUCAUGUGCCAUUCCUUUGCUUUGGGAACUUGGAGAAGAAAAUGGAGAAGAGGAAACUUUUACAUCAACUGUGGAAGUCAAGGCCAGAAAUCACUCACUAUAUCAUCUGAUAUUCCUCUGAUCGUUAUACCUAUUCUCAGUGUUAAGGAAAUGAGACCAGUUGAAACGUCCACAUUAAAAUAAGAAGAAGGAGAGAAGGUUUUCUAAUUGCAGGUCUCUGUUCUGAUCCCAUUACCAUCUCCCUCUGAUUAUCAUUCUCCUGAAAAUCUUAGCUUCAUUCAUACCCCUUCCCUUCCCUUAGUUUCCUUUAUGAACUUAUUUAUCUUCAUGCAAUUUGCCUGCAGUUAAUGUCAUCGUUAAAUAAAGAAUGCCAUAAAGGAACGAGAUCAGCAGUGACCUUCUGCACAGUUUCCAAAGCCUCGCCAACCUACCUCCGUGUCCUGGUCUGACUUAUGGCAGAAACAGAAGUUCAAAGACCUGGCUGAUAUGCUCCGUUAAAAACCCUUCCACAACGCAGUUAACAUUUUCUGUUUUCUGACUUUCUUUUUCUAAAGAGAUGCUUAAAGCAAAAAAGGUUUCCUGCCACAAAAAUGACAUUAAUAUUUCGUAAAUCAAGAACUAAGAUAAUGUUUUGGCUGCUACAGAGACGUUUACCUUAUGUCGUUUAUCUAAAUGCUUUUCGAUUAAAACAUGACACAAUUUUUGGACUGUUUUUUACCGGAAAAAACAAUUCCAAGAACUUUCUUAUUUCAGAGCCUAAAAUUCUUUAGUAUAUUCCUCAUCAGAAUUCACUGUGGAGUAUACAGCCUUUUAGCUCAUUCAGAAAGUCUUCCCAAAAAACAAGCCUUUGCCAAAGAUCAUUUGAGUGCACUAAAUCAAAUAAUCAACUAAAAGUCAAGAAGAAACCUUCAAAUGAAAACCAUAUAAAUAUGUUUGUAAACUUUCAAGUAACUGCAAUGUCAACAAUUGUAUUCCCCAAGAUACAAUUCUUUUCUAUAUUGACCUAUUAAAAAACUCGAUUCGUUCAAAGAA
ensembl:lncRNA novel transcript